AGCACAUAUGUGUGUUUUUGUUUAACUUGUGGGCAAAGACUUACAGAUAGGUACAAAAAAUAAAUGCUGUUUGCAACCUAGAGCUCAUUGUUCAGUAUGAGUUUUGAUACAUAUAAGAAGGAAUAUU